UCUAACUUAAGCAAUGCAGCCCCAAACCUUCUGCUGCAUCCUUGCGGCCCCUUAGCCGCGCCAGUGUGAAUAAGCAUUUACAAAAAGCU
rfam:Oceanobacillus oncorhynchi strain Oc5 genome assembly, contig: CONTIG000001